UGCUACCUGCAGUCGAGCGGAGUGAUGGUGCUUGCACUAUCACUUAGCGGCGGACGGGUGAGUAAUGCUUAGGAAUCUGCCUAUUAGUGGGGGACAACAUUUCGAAAGGAAUGCUAAUACCGCAUACGUCCUACGGGAGAAAGCAGGGGAUCUUCGGACCUUGCGCUAAUAGAUGAGCCUAAGUCGGAUUAGCUAGUUGGUGGGGUAAAGGCCUACCAAGGCGACGAUCUGUAGCGGGUCUGAGAGGAUGAUCCGCCACACUGGGACUGAGACACGGCCCAGACUCCUACGGGAGGCAGCAGUGGGGAAUAUUGGACAAUGGGCGCAAGCCUGAUCCAGCCAUGCCGCGUGUGUGAAGAAGGCCUUAUGGUUGUAAAGCACUUUAAGCGAGGAGGAGGCUACUGAAGUUAAUACCUUCAGAUAGUGGACGUUACUCGCAGAAUAAGCACCGGCUAACUCUGUGCCAGCAGCCGCGGUAAUACAGAGGGUGCAAGCGUUAAUCGGAUUUACUGGGCGUAAAGCGCGCGUAGGCGGCUAAUUAAGUCAAAUGUGAAAUCCCCGAGCUUAACUUGGGAAUUGCAUUCGAUACUGGUUAGCUAGAGUGUGGGAGAGGAUGGUAGAAUUCCAGGUGUAGCGGUGAAAUGCGUAGAGAUCUGGAGGAAUACCGAUGGCGAAGGCAGCCAUCUGGCCUAACACUGACGCUGAGGUGCGAAAGCAUGGGGAGCAAACAGGAUUAGAUACCCUGGUAGUCCAUGCCGUAAACGAUGUCUACUAGCCGUUGGGGCCUUUGAGGCUUUAGUGGCGCAGCUAACGCGAUAAGUAGACCGCCUGGGGAGUACGGUCGCAAGACUAAAACUCAAAUGAAUUGACGGGGGCCCGCACAAGCGGUGGAGCAUGUGGUUUAAUUCGAUGCAACGCGAAGAACCUUACCUGGCCUUGACAUAGUAAGAACUUUCCAGAGAUGGAUUGGUGCCUUCGGGAACUUACAUACAGGUGCUGCAUGGCUGUCGUCAGCUCGUGUCGUGAGAUGUUGGGUUAAGUCCCGCAACGAGCGCAACCCUUUUCCUUAUUUGCCAGCGAGUAAUGUCGGGAACUUUAAGGAUACUGCCAGUGACAAACUGGAGGAAGGCGGGGACGACGUCAAGUC
rnacentral:rRNA from 1 species